rnacentral:rRNA from 1 species
GUUAUAGGGUCAAGCGAACAAGUGCAUGUGGUGGAUGCCUUGGCGAUCACAGGCGAUGAAGGACGCGG